rnacentral:misc_RNA from 1 species
UCCAAUUCUUCCUUCUCUUUUCGCCGCGUGAUCUCCAAAAGCCCUUCCUUCCUUUCUGCUAUUCUCCACUUCUCAUUCAGUUUCGCAUUCACAGAAGCAAAAAGCAAAUCACCAAACCCUAGAAACAACAAAAAUAAAUCUCAUUUCCCUAUAGAUUUCUUCUUCUGUCUCUACGAUGGCAGAGGAGAAUGGUGGCACUGGUAGCAGUGUCGGUGGAGGAUCCGAUAUUAACAGCAGAUUGGCGUCUUUGGACUCUGUGGAGUCGCGUUGGGUCUUCCAAGACGAUGAUGAUUCCGUUAUGGACGACGACGAUGAAGAUGAGGAGGAGGAUGGUGCUCACCACCGCACUGUUUUGGAUUCCGAUG